rnacentral:rRNA from 1 species
UACGUAGGGGGCAAGCGUUGUCCGGAAUCAUUGGGCGUAAAGCGCGUGUAGGCGGCCAGAAAAGUCCGCUGUGAAAACUCGAGGCUCAACUUCGAGCUGUCGGUGGAAACUCUCUGGCUAGAGUCCGGAAGAGGAGAAUGGAAUUCCUGGUGUAGCGGUGAAAUGCGCAGAUAUCAGGAAGAACACCGGUGGCGAAGGCGGCAUCCUGGACCGAUACUGACGCUGAGGAGCGAAAGCCAGGGGAGCAAACGGG